AGCGCGCAUGUGUUACACACACAAAGAAGUUAGUAAUAAACUAUUCUCAAUUUGUUCGAUGUUCGGAAGUUUUUUUUUCACAUUUCUUGUUUUUAAAAGUUCAAAAAAUCGUAAGUCAAGCCGACGAUAAACAAGAUAGUGUACCGCAUUUUCACUGCAGCAAUAUAUCGAAGUGCCACGUCUCGCGAUACCGGAGCAGAAAAAUUUUGAAAUUUUUGUCGAAAGUCGGAUAACUUUCCACCGUUUUCCGACCAAAAAAAUUGCUGAGACGGGAAUGGUUAAACUUUUUCGGAUACAAAAGCUCGUUCGAUACGCGAAACAUUCAGAUUCUUUUGAGGAUACUGUUUUAACCUAUAAUCAGCAAAGAAGACGUCUUCGUACUGGAGCUAUUCCAUGCAUUUGCCUCUUGGAUCUUCCAAAAAGUUUCUUUCCAAUGGUUUCAAACUAAAUUCCAAAUUUAUAAUUCAAUUCUUGCGAAAAUGCAAAUUAUUUAUUUGCAAUCACUUCGGAAGAUGACCCGGGAUGGAGGAAAUGUUUUUUCUCGUUUUCCAGAAACGCCAAUUUGGUCCCUUAAGUGGCUGAACACUCCAAACCGAAACCAAUGAGAGCGUCGGAUGGUUCUUGAUGGAUACUUCAAUAAAAGAGAAAAAAACAGCAGUGUGGGAAUUAAUCUUUCAUUAUAUAAUCAAUUUGCGGGAACGACACUGCUUCGAUAUAACCUAAUACAUUUGUUCACCGUUUUUUGCUUUAUUUCUAUAAUAAA